rnacentral:rRNA from 1 species
AGACCCGAAACCCGGUGAUCUAGCCAUGGGCAGGUUGAAGGUUGGGUAACACUAACUGGAGGACCGAACCGACUAAUGUUGAAAAAUUAGCGGAUGACCUGUGGCUGGGGGUGAAAGGCCAAUCAAACCGGGAGAUAGCUGGUUCUCCCCGAAAGCUAUUUAGGUAGCGCCUCGUGAAUUCAUCUCCGGGGGUAGAGCACUGUUUCGGCUAGGGGGCCAUCCCGGCUUACCAACCCGAUGCAAACUGCGAAUACCGGAGAAUGUUAUCACGGGAGACACACGGCGGGUGCUAACGUCCGUCGUGAAGAGGGAAACAACCCAGACCGCCAGCUAAGGUCCCAAAGUCAUGGUUAAGUGGGAAACGAUGUGGGAAGGCCCAGACAGCCAGGAUGUUGGCUUAGAAGCAGCCAUCAUUUAAAGAAAGCGUAAUAGCUCACUGGUCGAGUCGGCCUGCGCGGAAGAUGUAACGGGGCUAAACCAUGCACCGAAGCUGCGGCAGCGACGCUGAUGCGUUGUUGGGUAGGGGAGCGUUCUGUAAGCCUGUGAAGGUGGCCUGUGAGGGUUGCUGGAGGUAUCAGAAGUGCGAAUGCUGACAUAAGUAACGAUAAAGCGGGUGAAAAGCCCGCUCGCCGGAAGACCAAGGGUU